UGAGUGGCGGACGGGUGAGUAACGCGUGGGCAACCUGGCCUGUACAGGGGGAUAACACUUAGAAAUAGGUGCUAAUACCGCAUAACGGGGGGAGCCGCAUGGCACCCCCCUGAAAACUCCGGUGGUACAGGAUGGGCCCGCGUCUGAUUAGCUGGUUGGCAGGGUAACGGCCUACCAAGGCGACGAUCAGUAGCCGGCCUGAGAGGGCGGACGGCCACACUGGGACUGAGACACGGCCCAGACUCCUACGGGAGGCAGCAG
rnacentral:rRNA from 1 species